ACUCCUGAUCCUCAACACAUUGCUCGGGCUCCUAGUCCUUGUCUUACACCCAUUGGAGGAGGCAGGAUAGGAAAUUCUGAAAAAAGAAGCAUUAAUGGCCCUAAUGCCUUAAAUGACACUUCUACUCACAUAAAUGAGUCUACUGACCUGGUAACUGCUUUGUCAGGCAUGGGUCUUUCAGCUAGUUCUAUGGAUGAGGAGAAUAAUUUACCGUCUCGAAUUAAACAAGAAGUUGAUGACCAUGAGAAUUUCUUCAAUCUUCCAGGUGGUCAGAAUAACCUGAAGCAGCAUGCAUACCUGAAGAAAUCUGAAUCUGGGCAAUUCAAUAUGUCUUCUGUUCUUCAGCAUGCAAAAAUGAUGCCUUCUGACGCUGGUGUAAGCAAUGGCGAUGGUUUGGAUGUCAGCAACUCUUCUUUUCAAACUGAGCUGCACAAAACCAGUGCUUCUUCUAAUAAAACAUGGUGGUGUUGUUGGUGGCAGUAGUGGCAAUAGCUCUGCCUUUGCUGAGUAUGCAAGAAAUAAGAGUGGUAAUGGUUUCAUGUCAGAGGAGGAGCUUAGGUCCGAUCCUGCAUAUCUUAGAUAACAUUGGUUCAGCAGAGGCUGAGCUGGUUCAUAUGCGUCAUAAAUUGACAUCUGCAGACCCUGUACGCUCUGCUUCAAAUGUUCAGACCUCAUCUGCUUCUCAACAUGUUGGACCGCCCACAUCAUAUUCUUAUGCUGCUGCUUUGGGAGCUUCCUUGUCAAGAAGCUCCACUCCUGAUCCUCAACACAUUGCUCGGGCUCCUAGUCCUUGUCUUACACCCAUUGGAGGAGGCAGGAUAGGAAAUUCUGAAAAAAGAAGCAUUAAUGGCCCUAAUGCCUUAAAUGACACUUCUACUCACAUAAAUGAGUCUACUGACCUGGUAACUGCUUUGUCAGGCAUGGGUCUUUCAGCUGGUUCUAUGGAUGAGGAGAAUAAUUUACCGUCUCGAAUUAAACAAGAAGUUGAUGACCAUGAGAAUUUCUUCAAUCUUCCAGGUGGUCAGAAUAACCUGAAGCAGCAUG
rnacentral:lncRNA from 1 species